CGCGGCCUAUCAGCUUGUUGGUGAGGUAACGGCUCACCAAGGCGACGACGGGUAGCCGGCCUGAGAGGGUGACCGGCCACACUGGGACUGAGAUACGGCCCAGACUCCUACGGGAGGCAGCAGUGGGGAAUAUUGCACAAUGGGCGCAAGCCUGAUGCAGCGACGCCGCGUGAGGGAUGACGGCCUUCGGGUUGUAAACCUCUUUCAGCAGGGACGAAGCGAAAGUGACGGUACCUGUAGAAGAAGGACCGGCCAACUACGUGUCAGCAGCCGCGGUAAUACGUAGGGUCCGAGCGUUGUCCGGAAUUACUGGGCGUAAAGAGCUCGUAGGUGGUUUGUCGCGUUGUUCGUGAAAACUCACAGCUUAACUGUGGGCGUGCGGGCGAUACGGGCAGACUUGAGUACUGCAGGGGAGACUGGAAUUCCUGGUGUAGCGGUGGAAUGCGCAGAUAUCAGGAGGAACACCGGUGGCGAAGGCGGGUCUCUGGGCAGUAACUGACGCUGAGGAGCGAAAGCGUGGGGAGCGAACAGGAUUAGAUACCCUGGUAGUCCACGCCGUAAACGGUGGGUACUAGGUGUGGGUUUCCUUCCUUGGGAUCCGUGCCGUAGCUAACGCAUUAAGUACCCCGCCUGGGGA
rnacentral:rRNA from 1 species